GGUCUGUAGCUCAGUUGGUUAGAGCGCACCCCUGAUAAGGGUGAGGUCGGCCGUUCAAAUCGGCCCAGACCCACCAGAACAAGCCCGCCGCUUUCCAAGGAAGGCGGCGGGUCGGUUCCAUC
rnacentral:tRNA from 1 species